UCCAAUGUGGUGUAGUGGCUAACAUUGCUGUCUUUCAUAGGCAUCUGGUACAGAGCUUGAUUUGCACAGCAGCCCGGGGUUCGAUUCCCCGCAUUGGAA